GAUGAACGCUAGCUACAGGCUUAACACAUGCAAGUCGAGGGGUAACGAGAGGAAAGCUUGCUUUCCCUGUCGACGACCGGCGCACGGGUGAGUAACGCGUAUCCAACCUGCCCCCAACUAGGGAAUAACCUUGCGAAAGUAAGACUAAUACCCUAUAAUUUCCUCAGAUGACAUCUGACGAGGAAUAAAGAUUUAUCGGUUGUGGAUGGGGAUGCGUCUGAUUAGCUUGUUGGCGGGGUAACGGCCCACCAAGGCAACGAUCAGUAGGGGUUCUGAGAGGAAGGUCCCCCACAUUGGAACUGAGACACGGUCCAAACUCCUACGGGAGGCAGCAGUGAGGGAUAUUGGUCAAUGGGCGGAAGCCUGAACCAGCCAAGUAGCGUGCAGGAUGACGGCCCUAUGGGUUGUAAACUGCUUUUAUACAGGAAUAAAGUUAACCACGUGUGGUUAUUUGUAGGUACUGUAUGAAUAAGGACCGGCUAAUUCCGUGCCAGCCGCCGCCGUAA
rnacentral:rRNA from 1 species